CCGCGUGUGUGAGAAGGCCUUCGGGUUGUAAAGCACUUUCAGUCGUGAGGAAGGUGGUGUAGUUAAUAGCUGCAUUAUUUGACGUUAGCGACAGAAGAAGCACCGGCUAACUCCGUGCCAGCAGCCGCGGUAAUACGGAGGGUGCGAGCGUUAAUCGGAAUUACUGGGCGUAAAGCGCAUGCAGGUGGUUUGUUAAGUCAGAUGUGAAAGCCCGGGGCUCAACCUCGGAAUAGCAUUUGAAACUGGCAGACUAGAGUACUGUAGAGGGGGGUAGAAUUUCAGGUGUAGCGGUGAAAUGCGUAGAGAUCUGAAGGAAUACCGGUGGCGAAGGCGGCCCCCUGGACAGAUACUGACACUCAGAUGCGAAAGCGUGGGGAGCAAACAGGAUUAGAUACCCUGGUAGUCCACGCCGUAAACGAUGUCUACUUGGAGGUUGUGGCCUUGAGCCGUGGCUUUCGGAGCUAACGCGUUAAGUAGACCGCCUGGGGAGUACGGUCGCAAGAUUAAAACUCAAAUGAAUUGACGGGGGCCCGCACAAGCGGUGGAGCAUGUGGUUUAAUUCGAUGCAACGCGAAGAACCUUACCUACUCUUGACAUCCAGAGAACUUUCCAGAGAUGGAUUGGUGCCUUCGGGAACUCUGAGACAGGUGCUGCAUGGCUGUCGUCAGCUCGUGUUGUGAAAUGUUUGGGUUAAGUCCCGCAACGAGCGCAACCCUUAUCCUUGUUUGCCAGCGAGUAAUGUCGGGAACUCCAGGGAGACUGCCGGUGAUAAACCGGAGGAAGGUGGGGACGACGUCAAGUCAUCAUGGCCCUUACGAGUAGGGGCUACACACGUGCUACAAUGGCGCAUACAGAAGGGCGGCCAACUUGCGAAAGUGAGCGAAUCCCAAAAAGUGCGUCGUAGUCCGGGAUUGGAGUCUGCAACUCGACUCCAUGAAGUCGGAAUCGGCUAGUAAUCGGUGGAUCAGAAUUGCAACGGUGGAAUACGUUCCCCGAGCCUUGUACCACACCGGCCCCGUUCACAACAAUGAGGACUGGCCUGGCAAAGGAAGUUAGGUAUGAUUAACCUUUCGGGGGGAACGCUUACCACUUUUUGUGGUUCAUGACUUGGGUUGUAAUUCCUAUCACAGGCAUACGCGA
rnacentral:rRNA from 1 species